rnacentral:misc_RNA from 1 species
ACCCAAUAGGCCUAGGCUCAACAGCUCUUACACAAACAUAAACCCUUCCUCCUCAGGGACUCGCUGACCAACCAGAGGAAAACAAAGAAAGAGAGAAAGAACAGAGGCAGAGGGGCAAGCGAAGAUGAUUAUACCAGUUCGUUGUUUUACUUGCGGGAAGGUAAUUUUAAUGCUCGCUUUCUAUUUAUUAGCUACUUCUUCAAUAGCCCAAAGCCUACGAUUUCAAGGGUUUUCUGUCUUUUUUCACAAGAUGGCUUAACCCUUUUCUUCUAGGGUUUUAUAAUCUAUUUGCCACCGUAUAUUGUGUGUGUGUGUGUGGUUUUCCUCCCUUUGAUGAAGAUAUAUAAUAUCCUAAUGGAAUUCAUAUGUCUGGUUGAGUUAGCUUAGGGCAGGUGCAUUUUCUCACAGCUGGAAUUUACUUUCUCCUUGGCUUUGAUUGUUUCAGUGAAGUGUUUCCACACUUAGAAUUUGUCAAGGAAAAAAAUCAUGAUUAAUUUCUUUUGAGACCAAUUGAAAGUUUAAUGAGACUAUUUUUGGAAAAAUUUGUUACUAAAAAUUUUGGAACUUAGGCUUCCUUUAUUUUGUGAAAAAUAUUUUAAUGAAAUACAUUUUUCGCAUUUUCUAAUGUUUGAGGUAAAAACUUAUUUUGCUGGUUGGAGGGAAAACUUUUUCAGAGGAGGAAGUCAUUUUCUCAACUUGGACAAUCUUAUUAAAAUGUGAAAAUUAUGACAUAACUAAUACAUACCAUUAGUUUAAUAUUACAACCAAACAAUGGAAAAU